CGUCGAACUCCUCGAGCCAGGAAAAGAGGGCGUCUCUCCUCUCUUGGUUAUCGGACUCGAGAGCUUUAUUUUGCUCUCCAAAUCCUCGGUGACGAAGAGGACCAUGUCUCCCUCCUGAGUGACAGUGCCUUGGAGAUGGAGCUCAAGACUGUUGGGCCUCGGAUUGUUGGAGUCCAAUUUCUCCCCGUCCAAGUCGGGGGAUUCCAUCAAUGAACGGAGAUCCGACAUCGGCGGCGACGAUUGGGAAUCGAAUGAUAUUUCCGAGUAGGAAGCUGUCAUCUCGUGGAGCUAAGAUGGCGGUGCGGAAACCAAACGACGGAAAGAAAAUGUAGAAAAAAAAUGACAAAAAUUAAAUUUUUUCAACAUGUCA
rnacentral:lncRNA from 1 species